rnacentral:rRNA from 1 species
UGGACAAUGGGGGCAACCCUGAUCCAGCCAUGCCGCGUGCAGGAUGAAGGCCUUCGGGUUGUAAACUGCUUUCACCGACGACGAUGAUGACGGUAGUCGGAGAAGAAGCCCCGGCUAACUUCGUGCCAGCAGCCGCGGUAAUACGAAGGGGGCGAGCGUUGUUCGGAUUUACUGGGCGUAAAGGGCGCGUAGGCGGUUAUAUAAGUAUGGGGUGAAAUCCCGAGGCUCAACCUCGGAACUGCCUUAUAAACUAUAUAACUAGAGGACGAGAGAGGUAAGUGGAAUUCUCAGUGUAGAGGUGAAAUUCGUAGAUAUUGAGAAGAACACCAGUGGCGAAGGCGGCUUACUGGCUCGUUUCUGACGCUGAGGCGCGAAAGCGUGGGGAGCAAACAGGAUUAGAUACCCUGGUAGUCCACGCCGUAAACGAUGAGUGCUAGACGUUGGAGUUUCUGACUUCAGUGUUGAAGCUAACGCAUGAAGCACUCCGCCUGGGGAGACGG